rnacentral:rRNA from 1 species
AUUGAACGCUGGCGGCAGGCCUAACACAUGCAAGUCGAGCGGAUGAAGGGAGCUUGCUCCUGGAUUCAGCGGCGGACGGGUGAGUAAUGCCUAGGAAUCUGCCUGGUAGUGGGGGAUAACGUCCGUAAACGGGCGCUAAUACCGCAUACGUCCUGAGGGAGAAAGUGGGGGAUCUUCGGACCUCACGCUAUCUGAUGAGCCUAGGUCGGAUUAGCUAGUUGGUGGGGUAAAGGCCUACCAAGGCGACGAUCCGUAACUGGUCUGAGAGGAUGAUCAGUCACACUGGAACUGAGACACGGUCCAGACUCCUACGGGAGGCAGCAGUGGGGAAUAUUGGACAAUGGGCGAAAGCCUGAUCCAGCCAUGCCGCGUGUGUGAAGAAGGUCUUCGGAUCGUAAAGCACUUUUAGUUGGGAGGAAGGGAAGUAAGUUAAUACGUUGCUGUUUUGACGGUACCAACAGAAUAAGCACCGGCUAACUUCGUG